rnacentral:misc_RNA from 1 species
UCAAUUGCACCACUGCCAUCCUUAUCAACUUCUGCAAUCAUUUGAUUGAUCUCCUCUUCAGUCGCUUCAAAACCCAAAGCCCUCAUAGCAACAUUGAGUUCUUUGGCAUCAAUGGUUCCAGAGUUGUCUGUAUCAAAAAGCUCAAAAGCCUCUCUUAUUUCUUGCCUUUUCUGUUGAGUUAACCCCUGAUUACGUCCUCUAGGUUUCUCUCUCCGUGAUUGACCUCUGUAAAGGCUUCCCUCGGCUAUAGUCAUCACGGAUCCGUGGUCCAACUCACACUCGAACACGAACCAGCAAAUAAGAGAACACAACAAUGAAAUAUGAUAGUGAUCGCGUAGUAUUAGCUAUUGGUGUGUAAAUGAGUAAUUAUUCGUGUAUGAAAUGGAUGGGGAGACAGAUGGAAGAUAGAAGACGUAGGUGAUGGAGAUUUGUUCUCGACGGCGAGGAGAUGAAGAUGGGGAGGAUCAGCUGCGAAGGAGAUGGGAAGUGGCUCCGGGAAAAGGGCAAGAGA